UACGGGGGGGGCAAGCGUUGUUCGGAAUUACUGGGCGUAAAGGGCUCGUAGGUGGCCAACUAAGUCAGACGUGAAAUCCCUCGGCUUAACUGGGGAACUGCGUCUGAUACUGGAUGGCUUGAGUUCGGGAGAGGGAUGCGGAAUUCCAGGUGUAGCGGUGAAAUGCGUAGAUAUUGGGAGGAACACCAGUGGCGAAGGCGGUCCCCUGGGCCGGAACUGACGCUGAGGCGCGAAAGCGUGGGUAGCAAACGGG
rnacentral:rRNA from 1 species